rnacentral:rRNA from 1 species
GAUGAACGCUGGCGGCGUGCCUAACACAUGCAAGUCGAACGAACAGGCGACUAGCUUGCUGCUCUGACGUUAGGGGCGGACGAGUGAGUAAUAAGAGGAUAGCAUACUUCUCCGUCUUUGAUGACAACCGCAAACCGGAGCUACUACCAGGUGAUAUUUUGGACCUCUUGGUUCAUUGGUGAAAGACGGUUUUUGUUUCAGUUAUAGAUGGACUCGCGCCGCAUUAGCUAGUUGGUAGGGUAACGGCUUACCAAGGCAGCGAUGAGUAGCCGACCUGAGAGGGUGGUCGGCCACACUGGAACUGAGACACGGUCCAGACUCCUACGGGAGGAAGCAGUAGGGAAUCUUACGCAAUGAGCGGAAGCCGGACGGAGCAGCGCCGCGGCAGGGAUGAAGGUCUUCGGAGGGUAAAGCUCUGCUAUUGGGGAAGAAGAAGUGUGUAAGUAACUAUGCGCGUCUUGACGGUACCUAAACAGGAAGCCACGGCUAACUACGUG